rnacentral:rRNA from 1 species
UACGGAGGGGGCUAGCGUUGUUCGGAAUUACUGGGCGUAAAGAGCGCGUAGGCGGCUUUGUAAGUUAGAGGUGAAAGCCCGGAGCUCAACUCCGGAAUUGCCUUUAAGACUGCAUCGCUAGAAUCAUGGAGAGGUGAGUGGAAUUCCGAGUGUAGAGGUGAAAUUCGUAGAUAUUCGGAAGAACACCAGUGGCGAAGGCGACUCACUGGACAGGUAUUGACGCUGAGGUGCGAAAGCGUGGGGAGCAAACAGG